GAACAGCAAAAGAGUUCCACAAACGCGAACGCGAUUGAAACAUCGAACAACACCUAUCCAUGAAGCAUAAUCAACUUGUUGUUCUUAUUACAUAUGCUUUGAAUUAGAAUAGAUGAAUCUUUAUUUCUAUAUGGCAUGUGAAAAAGAACUGAAAAUAAUAAGUGGGAUGCUUAUUUUAUGUCGUGGUUAAAUGAAACUCAGCGUGUUAUGCAGGAUUCUGUGCCAGUGCUUUUGAACUUUGCAGAUUGGUGCAUUGAUGGGCAUUAGCCUUCCGUCUUGGUGUGCUCAAAUUAUGGAGUUUUAGAUUAGAAUUUAUGUAUUGGUUUUGUUAAUUAUGAAAGGGAUUACGUAAUGAAUGUUUUGAUUUUGCAUGGAAUGGAGUUUGAGUGGAAAUUUAUUAGAUUGAAUGAAAGUUGAAUGUUUGAAUGAUUAUGGAUUCUAUGUUAUGACAAG